GCAGUCGAACGGCAGCACGGGCUUCGGCCUGGGUGGCGAGUGGGCGAACGGGUGAGUAANGNAUCGGAACGUGCCCAUGUCGUGNGGGAUAACGUAGCGAAAGCUACGCUAAUACCGCAUACGCCCUGAGGGGGAAAGCGGGGGAUUCUUCGGAACCUCGCGCGAUUGGAGCGGCCGAUGUCGGAUUAGCUAGUAGGUGAGGUAAAGGCUCACCUAGGCGACGAUCCGUAGCGGGUCUGAGAGGAUGAUCCGCCACACUGGGACUGAGACACGGCCCAAACUCCUACGGGAGGCAGCAGUGGGGAAUUUUGGACAAUGGGGGCAACCCUGAUCCAGCCAUGCCGCGUGAGUGAAGAAGGCCUUCGGGUUGUAAAGCUCUUUCGGCCGGGAAGAAAUCGGCGACUCUAACAUAGUCGCUGGAUGACGGUACCGGACUAAGAAGCACCGGCUAACUACGUG
rnacentral:rRNA from 1 species